rnacentral:rRNA from 1 species
UGGGGAAUAUUGGACAAUGGGGGGAACCCUGAUCCAGCAAUGCCGCGUGUGUGAAGAAGGCCUUAUGGUUGUAAAGCACUUUAAGCGAGGAGGAGGGUACUGGUAUUAAUACUACCAGGUACUGGACGUGACUCGCAGAAUAAGCACCGGCUAACUCUGUGCCAGCAGCCGCGGUAAUACAGAGGGUGCGAGCGUUAAUCGGAUUUACUGGGCGUAAAGCGUGCGUAGGCGGCUAAUUGAGUCGGAUGUGAAAUCCCCGAGCUUAACUUGGGAAUUGCAUUCGAUACUGGUUAUCUAGAGUGUGGGAGAGUCUGGUAGAAUUCCAGGUGUAGCGGUCAAAUGCGUAGAGAUCUGGAGGAAUUCCUAUCGCGUAGGCAGCCAUCUGGCCUAACACUGACGCUGAGGUACGAAAGCAUGGGGGGCAAACAGG